AGCAGCCGCGGUAAUUCCAGCUCCAAUAGCGUAUAUUAAAGUUGUUGCAGUUGAAAAGCUCGUAGUUGAAUUUUGGAUUCUUCCAAUUGGUCCAUCUUUUAGAUGAGUACUGGUUGUGUGGGGUCUAUCCGCCUGGUGAUACGUAAUGUCCUUUAUUGGAUGUUGCGGGUAGUCAGGACCUUUACCUUGAAAAAAUUAGAGUGUUUAAAGCAGGCUUAUGCCGGAAUACAUUAGCAUGGAAUAAUAGAAUAGGACGAAGUUGUUUUAUUUUGUUGGUUUCUAGGACAACCGUAAUGAUUAAUAGGGAUAGUUGGGGGCAUUAGUAUUCAAUUGUCAGAGGUGAAAUUCUUGGAUUUAUUGAAGACUAACUACUGCGAAAGCAUUUGCCAAGGAUGUUUUCAUUAAUCAAGAACGAAAGUUAGGGGAUCGAAGACGAUCAGAUACCGUCGUAGUCUUAACCAUAAACUAUGCCGACUAGGGAUCGGGCGAUGCUGUUUCCAUGACUCGCUCGGCACCUUAUG
rnacentral:rRNA from 1 species